CAGCCGCCGCGGGAAUACGUAGGGCGCAAGCGUUAUCCGGAAUUAUUGGGCGUAAAGAGCUCGUAGGCGGUUUGUCGCGUCUGCCGUGAAAGUCCGGGGCUCAACCCCGGAUCUGCGGUGGGUACGGGCAGACUAGAGUGAUGUAGGGGAGACUGGAAUUCCUGGUGUAGCGGUGAAAUGCGCAGAUAUCAGGAGGAACACCGAUGGCGAAGGCAGGUCUCUGGGCAUUAACUGACGCUGAGGAGCGAAAGCAUGGGGAGCGAACAGGAUUAGAUACCCCAGUAGUCCCUGUCUCUUAUCC
rnacentral:rRNA from 1 species